rnacentral:misc_RNA from 1 species
UUCAGUUUGUUCCCGGCCUUUCCGGAGUGAAGACAGGUAGAGACUGAACCCGCACUCAAACCAUGGUUGUUGGCGGCAUGCGGAGCAGGGACGGAUAUGGUUCGAACCACAUCUGGGUAGGAUAAACACCCUUACCUUCAAACAAUGGUCGCGCACUCUUGAGUAUGGAAAAGCCUGGGCUAGGAGAAGGAGGAGGAGGAGGAGGAAGAGGAGGGUCAGGGGGCGGGAGCGGCGGGAACAGCGGCGUCCUCCAAACCUUUAUUAUAUUAGUGUGUAUAAGCCUGUACUGGAACUCUCUACAGUGUGGGUUUGUGUUUGAUGAUAUGAGUGCGAUAAGAGACAAUAGGGACCUGAGACCUCAUGUUCCAAUCCAGAACAUAUUCAAGAACGAUUUCUGGGGAACUCCGAUGAACAAGGAGCAAAGUCAUAAAUCCUACAGACCGAUUACUGUUCUCACCUUCAGAUUGAACUAUCUAGUUCAUGAACUGGAUCCACUAGGUUAUCAUCUGGUAAAUAUUCUCCUGCAUGCUGCUGUAACCUUGAUGUAUCAUAGUCUUUGUUCAUCGCUUCUUUCAAGACCUGGAGCAGCUGUUGCUGCUCUUCUCUUCGCUGUUCAUCCUGUUCACACUGAAGCAGUGUCUGGAGUAGUGGGCAGAGCAGAGCUUCUAGCAUCGCUUUUCUUUCUCUCCGCUCUUCUCAAGUACAAGGAUCUAUCCUGGAGAAGAACUGUUGAAUGGAAAGGAUUGAUGUGGAUUUCUCUCCUGGUUACACUGUCAAUGAUGUGUAAGGAGCAAGGAAUUACUGUGAUAGCGCUCUGCGCACUUCACGAGGUUUUCGUGGAGCAGAAACUGUCUCACACAGAUCUUGUUGUGUUUAGUCAAAUCUUUGCUGGGGGUAAAGUUGGACUUCCUCCCUGGGUUAAACUCUCUGCUCAGAGACUAUCAAUUCUUGUUCUAGCCGGAAUCUGUCUUAUGAUCGGACGUCUAAAGAUAAUGGGCUCUCAGCUUCCAGUUUUCACCAAGUUUGACAAUCCUGCUGCGGUUGCAGAAACUCCAACCCGUCAGCUGACACACAACUACUUGCUUACGGUCAACUCCUGGUUACUCUUAGCCCCUGCUGAUCUCUGUUGUGAUUGGACAAUGAACACAGUACCACUAGUGACAUCUGUUAGUGAUCCCAGAAACCUUGCCACAAUUUUACUUUACGCUCUACUAGCACAUCUAGCUUACAAAGGGUUCAGUUGCAACCCAACCCACGAAGCGUCUGUGAUAUUAACUGGAUUGGGACUCCUUGUUUUACCCUUUAUCCCUGCUUCAAACCUAUUCUUUCCAGUAGGGUUUGUUGUAGCCGAGAGAGUAUUGUACCUGCCCUCGAUGGGGUUCUGUCUACUCGUGGCCUUUGGGUGUGAUAAAAUAUUUCGUAAAGGUGGAGUAUGUCGAUAUCUAGUCUUAGCUGGACUAGCUCUCACCCUGGCUACUCACUCCUGUAAAACUAUAAUGAGGAAUGAGGAGUGGAAGGACGAGUAUGCUCUGUUUAAAUCAGGACUUAGAGUAAAUGCUGGGAACGCUAAGCUCUUCAACAACGUGGGACAUGCUCUAGAAUCCAAGGGACGAUACGAGGAGGCUCUGAACUAUUUUCACGCAGCUGUAAACGUCCAGCCGGACGAUAUUGGUGCACAUAUUAACGUCGGACGAACCUACAAUCACAUGGCGAGGUUCAAUGAAGCUGAGGAAGCGUAUUUAAAAGCUAAAUCCUUGUUACCAAAACCUAAACCCGGAGAAUCGUAUCAAGCACGUGUAGCGCCGAAUCAUUUAAAUGUAUUUUUAAGUCUUGCAACCUUGAUUUCUAAGAACGGAUCAAGGCUUGAAGAAGCUGACCUGCUUUACAGGCAAGCAAUAUCUAUGAGAUCAGAUUACACUCAGGCCUACAUAAACAGAGGAGAUAUUCUUCUUAAACUAAACCGAACCAAGGAAGCCCAGGAGGUGUAUGAAAGAGCAUUGUUCUAUGAUAACACAAAUCCUGAUAUAUACUACAACCUUGGUGUAGUUCUCAUAGAGCAGGGAAGACACGGACAGGCUCUAGCAUAUCUCAACAAGGCUUUAGAGUUUGAUCCUGAUCAUAGCCAGGCUCUUCUCAACUCCGCCAUGUUAAUCCAGGAGAGUGGUAGCUCCCAGCUCCGACAACUAGCCGUCGAUAGAUUAAACAAGAUAGUGGAGAAAGGGCAGGUCAACGAGAGAGUUUACUUUAAUCUUGGAAUGCUUUCAAUGGACGGAGGAAACCUGGAAACCUCCGAGUACUGGUUUAGAAAAGCGAUAGAGUUGAAGAAUGAUUUUAGAAGCGCUUUGUUCAACCUUGCUCUUCUUCUAUCAGAUUCUGACCGACCUCUAGAGGCGGCUCCAUUCCUUCAUCAACUUAUUAAACAUCACCCCAACCACACUAAAGGUUUGAUUCUCCUCGGAGAUAUUUAUAUAAACCAUCUGAGGGAUCUAGACGCUGCUGAGGGUUGCUACAGGAAGAUCUUAGCAGUGGACCCGGAGAACGUGCAAGGGUUACACAACCUUUGUGUCGUUAUGGUUGAGCGCGGUCAGCUGGGAAAGGCUAGAACCUGUUUACAGAAAGCGCACAAUUUAGCGCCUCAGGAGGAUUAUAUUAGGAAACAUCUUGAUAUUGUGGAACUAAAAAUCAUUGAAACUAACAAGGAGACGGAGAAAUGAGUUUUACAUCAAAAUUAAACUAAAUAUCGAUUUGUUGGAUUUGUGUUCUGUAACAUUGUUUCUAAAUCCGAGGGAUAUCAUGAGUAGCGUCCAACAGAUGGCAGAACCAGACAACUCCGUAGGGAGGGAAAAACUGUUCUCUGGGGAAUAGUAUUGCAGUGCUAUUGGAAAAUACUCCGAAACAAGUUGAACCGGAGUCUGUAUGAGUGUUUAAGGAUAUGAGGUGAGGCAGGAGAAAGAAGAAAAUAUUCAACUUCAGUUCCGUGGUUUAAACAACUUGUAUAGGAUAAAACAACUCUCUUGGUAAUCAUUUGAACUCAACUUUGAUUAGAAAUUUAAUCAUUUUUCCGAACCUGAGUUAAAGAACCAAGAACAUUCUCAGAAAAAAUCUCUAAAUCACACUUAAACCCUCUUCUACCACAAUUCUAAUUGUAUACUCUGAUUACUAUGGUUUCUGGUUCUAGGCAUUAUGGCUCCAGGUAUAGAAUCCAGUAAGGAUCCUUGAUAGGAUCAUUCGAAUAAUUUUUUGACACGAUCAAUGCAAAACAAAUUAGAAUGUUCAGCUCUAGUAAGGAACAAAAUUAAAACUGGAUAUUUUGAAGAGAAAUCAUUUAUGUAUGUGCCAUCACUGAGUUAUCAUUGAAUUUGAAAUUAAUUAUUUUUUCUUAAGAAAACAAUCCACAGAUUGAACUUAAAUCAAUCAAUCAAUGCAAUCUAUUAGUCAGAAAUCUAACUAAACUGGUUGAACAAAUUUAUUCAAAAACAUAUCUUUAUCUGAUUAUUUGUUUAAUAUAAUUGUAUAAUGUAAAAUGUAAAAUGUGCUCUUUAAAUCUUUAAAUCUAUCUUUCUUACUUAUUAAAGAUCAAGUUUUUGAUGUGUUGUCAGCUUUAAUUUCAAACUCAACGUUUAUUUUUUACAUCGUUAAAUCUUUAAACCCUUUUCUAUACUGCGAUCUAACCGUCCGACCAUUAUUAUUAUUAUUAUUGUUAAAUUUGCUCACUGCUUAGUUCCCAAUGCAAAGAACACGAGUGAACACGUGUCAUUUCUUCUGAUAGAUUUAUAAAUAUAUAUAAUUAUUAUAAACUGUUAAAUCAAUGCAUUCCAGAGCUUUUAUCCAAAUUUCUUAUUUUUUAAUCAACCAAGAAAUUAAUUUGACCAUCUUAUAAUUUUGAAUCCCUCUGCUGUGUCAAUUGUUCCUGCAUUUUAAACAUUUAUUGUUUUCCAGUUUUGUACGACUAGUAAUGGCAUUCUCACUUACACAUAAUGCUAAUUUUUUUCUUUUUAAAGCCAUAUACUAGUCAUAUAACACUUACAUCUACUUAUGUGUGUACACAAUUGUAAACCGUUGUACUAACUGUACUGUAAAGUGUAAUGCAGUUUAAACCCCGUGUUUGUAUAUGUACGUCUUGAAUCAUGAAUGUUCUAAACGUAUUUCUGUUCUAUAUCUACACGCUUACAGUGAUCAUAAAUAAAUAUGUGAUAAAAAUA